CCAGACUCCUACGGGAGGCAGCAGUGGGGAAUAUUGCACAAUGGGGGAAACCCUGAUGCAGCAACGCCGCGUGAGUGAAGAAGUAUUUCGGUAUGUAGAGCUCUAUCAGCAGGGAAGAAAAUGACGGUACCUGAGUAAGAAGCCCCGGCUAACUACGUGCCAGCAGCCGCGGUAAUACGUAGGGGGCAAGCGUUAUCCGGAUUCACUGGGUGUAAGGGGAGCGUAGACGGCCAUGCAAGCCUGGAGUGAAAGCCCGGGGCCCAACCCCGGGACUGCUCUGGGAACUGUGCGGCUGGAGUGCGGGAGGGGCAGGCGGAAUUCCUGGUGUAGCGGUGAAAUGCGUAGAUAUUAGGAGGAACACCAGUGGCGAAGGCGGUCUGCUGGACAGCAACUGACGCUGAGGCGCGAAAGCGUGGGGAGCAAACAGGAUUAGAUACCCUCGUAC
rnacentral:rRNA from 1 species